CCUAGAUACUGAAGCCAUGUUCGCUCUAUAUGCCACAGCUCUCCUCUGCUUCCUGUCUUUGGGCCAAUCAGCUCCUGCUGCAGCUCUAACCUGUGAGGACCUCCUUAAGCCCAUGGAUCCACCACGACAAGACCAGCAGCUCUUGGGAAGAUGGGAUUUUGUCGCAGACGUGUGAGCCACCCCUGGUAUUACUCAACCAUGUUCGCUCUCCAGAGAAAACAGUCACCAUGGAGUUUACAUCUGCUACCAAAACCAGAACACCAACACCACCACAACCAUCCACUACACUCAGGCUGACCGGCAUGGCGGCUGGUGCAAGUACUGUAUAUACCCGACAGCAUCUCCAUCGUCAACGGCAACAGCACCUUCCAGUUAGACAUGAGGGUCUUUUGGAACAUCACUGGGGUCUCCCUGGAGACCUGCCCAGACUGCCUGGUGAUGAGGUGAGCUCCGUAAUAAGGGAGUCCACGGACCUGCAUCUGCUGAGGAAGGUGGAGGGCGGGACGGGAGAGAGGUGGAGGAAGAGGAGAUGGAGGAGUUCAGGAACCUGUACCUGCUGAGGAAGGUGGAGGGCGGGACGGGAGAGAGGUGGAGGAAGAGGAGAUGGAGGAGUUCAGGAACCUGUACCUGCUGAGGAAGGUGGAGGGCGGGACGGGAGAGAGGUGGAGAAAGAGGAGAUGGAGUUCAGGAAACGUGGAGUGCCUGGGGCUUCCCGCCGCCAGUGCUGAUGUAGCUUGGGAAAUCCCUCUGAUUCCUGUCGUCCCUGAUUCCCUACCCUCUUAAGACCGGUAGAAGAAGAAAAAGAUCCAUCAAUGUGAUAAAAGUAUAGAUUCUGAGAGAGUGGGGGCAGUGAAAGAGAGAUGUAGAGACACUUUUGCUGGUUUGUAAUAUAGCAGUUCUGUAUGUACUGUUUGUCAAUGUACUGUAUGAUUGUACUGAAUUAUUUAUCGUAUCAUUCUGUCUUCUUGGCUUCUUUAACAGAUUUAAUGACAUUCAUUGAGUUAAUUAAAGUACAAAAGCUUCAGUUAAUUCACAGAGACAGUGGAAUCCAGCAGGAAUGUUCACAGCAAAUUCUCCAGCAUUGAAUCAACUCUGAGUGUUCAUUUUAACACUUUUCCAGAGUCUAUAGGGUCCACACUAUUCAGAGCUAAAUUAAGACUUUGUUAAGAGCUGAUGCCAUUACACUUUCUCAGUGUUAAGGAAUUAGCGCCUGCAGUUUUACAGUAACUCGUUUUGGGUGUUGACUAUUUGAAUCAGGUGUGCCAGUUUAGGGUUAAAACAAAAAUGUGAAACGUCUGAGGGGCGAGGAGAGGGUUGGGAAACCACAUAGUAGAGAACGCUGUCGGCCAUCACUUUUAGCCUACGCAUCAGAUUCAUCUGCUGUGGUGUUAGAAACCUAAAUAAUACCCCCCAAAAUAUUUUCAAUAGAAUGUUGUCACGUUUUAAGAAUGUUUAGGUUUUAAAAAAUAUUUGUAUAUUUUGAAGUACAGUACCAGUCAACAGUUUGGACACACCUACUCAUUCAAGGGUUUUUCUUUAUUUUUACUGGUUUCUACAUUGUAGAAUAAUAGUGAAGACAUCAAAACUAUGAAAUAACACAUAUGGAAUCAUGUAGUAGCCAAAAAUUGUUAAACAAAUCAAAAUAGAUUUUAGAUUCUUUAAAAAUAGCCACCCUUAGCCUUGAUGACAGUUUUGCACACUCUUGGAAUUCUCUAAACCAGCUUCAUGAAGUAGUCACCUGAAAUGCAUUUCAAUUAACAGGUGUGUCUUGUUCAUUUGUGAAAUGUAUUUUCUUCUUAAUAUGUUUGAGCCAAUCAGUUGUGUUGUGACAAGGUACAGUAGGGGUGAUAUACAGAAGAUAGCCCUAUUUGGUAAAAUACCAAGUCCAUAUUAUGGCAAGAACAGCUCAAAUAAGCAAAGAGAAACGACAGUCCAUCAUUACUUUAAGACAUGAAGGUCAGUCAAUCCGGAAAAUCAACCAACCCUAAACUAUAGGGUUUUACAAGCCAAACUUUUCUUGUCAACAAAGGCAUAAUUAUAAUUUUUUUCACCUUUAUUUAACUAGGUAGGUUAGUUGAGAACAAGUUCUCAUUUACAACUGCGACCUGGCCAAGAUAAAGCAAAACAGAGUUACACAUGGGAUAAACAAACGUACAGUCAAUAACACAAUUGAUACACUGUAUAUCUGCAGAAAAACUAGGAGAAUCCCAGAAGAAUUAGGAGAACACUAGACGUAAAUGUAAAUGAGACUUCUGUAUUGUUUCAUGUUUGACAUUAUGGAAUAAUGUCUCAGAUAAAAGCACGCGACUUUUCACCAGAUAAGCACAGAACAUAGAUUAACAAAAAGUGUAGUUUUUAUUUCGCAACCUUGGAAUUGCCUUGGAAAAGUGCCAGUUUACUGGUACUCUGCAACUGUGGAACUUUCUGACAUUGAAGAACAUUGUACCAUAGCAGAGCUAUAAGACUGGACCCCUCUAUCCCAGCACCAGUGUUCCAUACACACAGACACAUCAAUGACACAUAGACAUACAGUAGAUAGAUGCUGUAGAUACAUAGAAAUAUAUAAGAUAGAUAUAGUGAUACAUAUUGUAGAUACUAUAGCUAUAGAUAGACCCACAAUAGAUAGAUAUACUGGUGCAUAGAUAUAGUGAGACCUAGACAUUGAUGCCAUGUUCGCACUAUGUGCCACGACUCUCCUGUACUUCCUGUCUUUUAGCCAAUCGGCUCCUGCUGCAGGUCUAGCCUGUGAGGACCUCCUUAAGCCCAUGGAUCCACCACGACUAGACCAGCAGCUCUUGAGGAAAUGGGCCCUCGUCGCAGGCAGCCUGAGCCACCCUGCAUCCCUGGAGGCUCUCAAGGUAGCACCCUAUCCACUAUGUGGCACCCUAUUCCCUAGAGCCCUAUGCGGACCCUGGUCACGAGUUAAAACAAAGGAUAGGCCUGGAGAAAUGUAACCACUCUCAAAUUCAUAGACAGAGCUAUGGAUGCAAGGACUGACCAUCCAAGAUAUACAAUUGUAGUUGUACGCAUGUUUUGAGGCAUUUACAAUGUUUGCAAAACAUUGGAUUAAAACAAGCUUAUAUUUGGGGUUCUGUAUGGGGUUUGACAGUUGAUCCAAGCUCAUGAGGCAUUUAUAAGUUAUAUUCUUCAAGAAUCAAUGGGUGCAUAUCAUAAAUGUUUAAGUCUAAAAAUGGAUGUAACAACUGCAGAUUGCCCCCUUUAAAUUGCUUUUUAGCACACUUGUCAACUAGGCUACAUUUCACCUGCCUUUUGUACCGGUAAUUGUUCUGUGACAAUUUUGUAUGUUGUAAUGAUU
ensembl:lncRNA